rnacentral:rRNA from 1 species
UACGUAGGCAGCGAGCGUUGUUCGGAGUUACUGGGCGUAAAGCGUGCGUAGGCGGUGUCUUAAGUUUGUUGUGAAAUCUCCCGGCUUAACCGGGAGGGUGCGGCGAAUACUGAGAUGCUGGAGUGCCGGAGAGGUAAGCGGAAUUCCUGGUGUAGCGGUGAAAUGCGUAGAUAUCAGGAGGAACACCAGCGGUGUAGACGGCUUUCUGGACCAUUGCUGACGCUGAGACACGGAAGCGUGGGUAGCAAACAGG